UGACCUUGUGAUCCACCCACCUUGGCCUCCCAAAGUGCUGGGAUUACAGGCGUGAGCCACUGCACCCGGCCAUAAAUUUUUUAAAAACCAAAUCGGUUUAAGAAAAAAAAGUGGCCAGGUGUGGUGGCACCUGCCUGUGGUCCAGCUACUUGGGAGGCUGAAGCGGGAAGAUCACUGGAGCCUAGGAAGUUGAGGCUGUAGUGAGCCAUGAUCACACCACUGCACUCCAGCUUGGGCAACAGAGUGAGACCCUGUCUCUGAAAAGAAAAAAACAGAAAAACGUUUAUCUAUGAAAGACCACUCUAACUUUGCAUAAGAACAGAGACUCUGUGGCCUCGGCCUAGGGUUACUCACUGCCCCCUUCCCCCUCACUGUGGAAACCACAGCUUUGCUGCCAAAGGGGCAGACUUAACUUGAGGCUGGGUUAAAAACCCACCCCUUGUGGGGGCGCUGUCAGUAGAAGCAGCAACUGGAGAAGAGGCCCUGUCUUCCGCUUGCCAGAGGGUGCAGUCCCUGCUGGGGAGAGCCAAGACUGGCUGCAGAUUUAAUGGGUGACCCUGGAAACAGAAAGCCAGAUGGUGCUGCACACUCUCCUCAGGCCUGGCUGACGGGGGCCACACACACGUGCAGGGACCUGUGAGGGCCAGGUGGGAACUGUGCGAACCUAGGGAUGCACCCCCCACCACCCACACACAGCCCCGUGGCAAGGGGAGGAGGCCUGUGGGCUCAAGGUGUGGGAGCACAACCUCUGCCCAAACCCUUGGCUGACCACCAACUAUGAAGACAGAGGGAUGACCCUAGGAAGCCAGGCUAAAACGUAAAAAUAAGAACCAAAAAAUCUCAGCACAGACAUCAGUGAGUGCACACAGCCGGGGGCAGGUCCUGCAGGUUAAAUGCAGGCCAUUUGCUAGAAAACAACACAAAGACCACCACCAGCCACUGGGAAAAAGAGUAAACAUUCAGCUUUGCUAUAAUGUAUUCACUGAAAUGUUCAGUUCUCAACCAAAAAUUUUGAGAUGUGCAAAUGAACUGGAAAGUAGGUUCCAGUUCACAGACUCUGACUCUCAGGGCCCACAUGCAGAAUUUAUCAAAUAUUUCAAGAAAACUACUAUGAAUAUAUUGUAAGAAUGAAAGGAGGCCGGGCAUGGUGGCUCAUGCCUGUAGUCCCAGCACUUUCGGAGGCCGAGGCGGGCAGAUCACUUCAGGUCAGGAGUUCGAAGAGAUCAGUUUGGCCAACAUGGCAAAACCCCGUCUCUACUAAGAAGACAAAAAUUAGCUGGGUGUGGUGGCGGGCGCUGUAAUCCCAGCUACUCGGGAGGCUGAAGCUACUCAGAAUGUGGAGUUUGUAGUGAGCUGAGAUCACGCCGCUGCACUCCAGCCUGGGUGACAGAGUGAAACUCUGUCGCAAAAAAAAAAAAAAAAAAAAAAAAAUUAGCACUUAGGGAGGCAGAGGCGGGAAGAUCACCUGAGCCCAGAAGUUUGAGACCAGCCCAGCAACAUAGUGAGACCCCACUCUUCACAAAAAGGAAAAUGAACAAAAAAAAUUAACUCAAAAUGGGGCCAGGUGCAAUGGCUCAUGCCUAUAAUCCCAGCACUCCGAGAGGCUGAGGUGGGAGAACUGUUUGAGGCCAGGGGUUCGAGACCAGUCUGGGCAACAUAGUGGGACCUGGUGUCUGCAAAUAAUAAAAAAACUGGCCGGGUAUGGUGGCGCGCACCUGUGGUCCCUGCUACUCAGGAGGCUGAGGUGCUUGAGCCCAGAAGCUUGAGCCCAGAAGCUCAGGGCUGCAGUGAGCUGUGAUUGUACCACGCGCUCCAGCCUGGGUGACAGAGCGAGUCUGUGACUCAAGACAAAUAAUUUGGAUGUUCAAGGGUUCUGGAGAAAGAAUAAAAAUACCAAACUAAAAAUGGAUCAUAGAUCUAAAUGAAAAAUGCAUACAAGUUAAACUUUAGAAGAAAAUACAAGAAAAAUCUUUGUGAUCUGGUGAUCACAAAGAGUUUUUAGAAAUGACACCAGAAGCAUGUAAGCUCUACACUGGGGGAGAAUACCUGCAAAUUACCUACCAUCAGAGGACUUGCAUCUACAACAUAUAAAGAACUUUAAAAACUCAAGUUGGAAAAAAAAUGGGCAAAACACCUGAGCAGUUAUUUCUAGUAUACCAAGAGGGUAUACUGGGCUGGGCGCCGUGGCUCACACCUGUAAUCCCAGUACUUUGAGAGGCCGAGGCAGGCGGAUCGCCUGGGGCCAGGAGUUUGAGACUAGCUUGGCCAACAUCUUGAAACCUCAUCUCUAAUAAAAAGAUAAAAAGUUAGCCGGGCGUGGUGGGGUGCACCUGUAAUCUCAGGUGCUCAGGAGGCUGAGGCAGGAGAAUCACUUGAACUCAGGAGGCAGAGCUUGUAGUGAGCCAAGACCGCACCACUACACUCCAGCCUGGGAAACAGAGUGAGACCCUGUCUCAAAAACAAACACACAAAAAGGGUAUACUAAUAGUAAAUGUACACAGGGAGGGUCUUCCUCAACCCUUCGACACGCUGAUUUUGGAUGUCUGGUCUCCAGAACUGAGAGAACAUUUCUGUUGUCUUAAGCCACCUGGUUUGUGGCGUCACUUCUGCCCUGACAGCAGUGUCCUUUGAGGAGAUGGUGAGUGUGAGUGGUCAGGGCUGUGCUGUGACUUGCUGUGGUUGGGAGAGGGGCACGGAGGGGCAGAGUGGCCCUGGGAGACCCGUUAGGAGAGUUUCAUGGUGAGUCCGUAGUGGUUUAGACAGGGGUGGUGCCUGCAUGACAGAGGAAGGGGAGGAGGAGCAGCAGCAGGACCAACAUGGGUCGGCGCGGCGGCUGGUGGUGCUGACUGUGGCUGGUCUGCUUCUGGUUUGCACACCAGAGGCUGGAGGAGGGCCCUCAAUGGAAGCGACCAGCAGGCAGCUGGGGAUGAGGGUCUGUAACCCAGGAGGUCUGGAGUUGCUGAGGUGCAGACAGAAGAGGAAGAGGAAGACGAAGAGGAGGACAAAGAGAAAGCAGGAGCAGAAAUGGCACCAUCUAGAGAGAGAGUGGGAGGUGGGGACAGGGACUGAGAGGAGCCCUGGGGACCGCCAGCUACAGAGAGACAAAUGCAAAUGGAUAUCGAGGAGGUGCAGUCAGAGGCAGAGGGAAGCCAGAAAGUGUGGGGCUCAGGAGAGCGGCUGGGGAUGCCAGAAGCUACCGAGGGGUCCAGCAGGAAAGGACUAAAACCGUCCCUGGACUUAGUGACCUGGAGGACCCUGGUGGCCUUGGGAGAGACAUUCUGUGGAGAGGUGGCAGGAGGCUAAGAGCGCAGGCCAGGUCCCAGAGCAGAGUACGAUGGAGAGAAUCAACCAGAAAGGCUGGAGGACCGAGCUGUGGGAAGGAACUCCGGUGGCACGCCCAGAACACCGACAUGUGCCAACACCCUGGCUCACCGUUCCUCACUUCUGGUCUAACCACAUGUGGGCUGCAUGGGGUGCAGGCAUUUUGGAGUUUUGACACAUGGAACCGAAGUCCUUCCAGAACAGAUGUCAUGUUAUGUUCACCAGCAGGCUCUGGCUCUGUUGCCCAGGCUGGAGUGCAGUGGCGCCAUCUCAGCUCACUGCAGCCUCUGGCUCCUGGGUGUUAAUCCAAACUGCACCAUUUUGUAAGCCCCCUGCCGUUUUCCAGACCCAGGGUGAAGUGAAACAUUCCACGGGGUUUGGGCUGUGAGGAACAUCCUGCCCAACAUCCUGACCACACGGCCCAGGAACAUCCCGAACAUACCUUGCUGGGCAAAGGCCCAACUGAAGGAACAUCCUGAUCGUAUUCUGCCGGGAACAAGUACCCAACUGCCUCAUCAUGGGAACAUCCCUCAACAUCUUCCCAGGCAGAAGCCCUACUGCCCAAACCCCUCCCGUCCAGGCCUGCUCGACUGUGGCCUGAAGAGCAGCCCCUCCCUGCGCGGAGGCCUUCUCCGGCAUCCUCCAGCCUCCUCCGGCCUUCUCUAGUCCAGCCUUCUCUAACCUUCUGUAGCCCAGCCUUCUCCAGCCUUCUGUAGCCCAGCCUUCUCCAAGCCUUCCCAUCAACAGAAGAAACGCCUGCAGGACAGAGACAGGAACUGCAGCUCUUCCCUGUAGGGGGCGCUGCUGAUGCUUACUUUCCCUUUAAAUGUUUCA